CCAAACCUGGUUGAUCCUGCCAGUAGUCAUACGCUUGUCUCAAAGACUAAGCCAUGCAUGUCUAAGUAUAAAGGUUAUACAAUGAAACUGCGAAUGGCUCAUUAAAACAGUUAUAGUUUAUUUGGUAAUUUUCUACAUGGAUAACCGUGGUAAUUCUAGAGCUAAUACAUGCUGUUUAGCCUGACUUCUUGAAGG
rnacentral:rRNA from 1 species